GCCCGGCUAACUCAGUAUGUAGAGCAUGGGACUCUUAAUCCCAGUGUCGUGGGUUCGAGCCCCACGUUGGGCG
rfam:Nematostella vectensis strain CH2 x CH6 NEMVEscaffold_2531_Cont42185, whole genome shotgun sequence.